UCAGCAGCAUAUGCAUUUUUAACCAUUUAAAGCAUUUAUAUUUUGAUGUUUUAAUGGUAUGUUUACAAAAGUUUCCAUAACAUUUUUCCUUCCUAAGCCUUCUCCUUAUGCAGCAAAACCAUAAGUUCUAAAUCAGGUGUCAGGUUCUUGUACUUAUUAGACUAGAAACAGUGAAAAUUUUGACAUAUCAAAGCCUCACUUAAGCAAAUUGCAUUUGAAAUGUCUGUUCAGUCCAAAAACUGCAGGGUCAGAUGUAAUGUCUGCAAUUUUGUCUUGUCAUUGCAUUUCCAAGAUGAGUAUGUAUGUGUCUUACAUAUCUGUAUUUAUAGUGGAGAGAUAGUGAAAUAAAUCCCUUCAUUUUGGUGUGUUUGGGUUUGAUUUUUUUUUGUUGUUUCUUUGUUUGGUUUGUUUGUUUGCUUUUGGGUUUUUUUUGGUUUUUGUAGUUUUUGUGGAUUUUUGUUUGUUUGGUUUUGGGUUUUUGUUUGUUUUGGGGAGUGUUUUUUGUUUUUUGGUUUUUUUGUUUUACUGAAUAGCUUAAAAAAAUUCCAAGGAGCCUGCACAUCAACUACAUUUUGAUUUUAUUUCACAGCAAGUUGUUUUUUGUUUUUAAAGGCUUUCUCCUCUCUAGUUAAUUGAGGCUAGUGUUUGCUGCAGUCUUCAUUUAUACAGAACAAUUGUUUGUUAUUUUAUCUAAAAUAGAUCUGUUUGUGGCAGGAUGAAUUCUUACAACAGCUUCAACUUGCUCAUCAACCUUGGAUAUUGCCGAGUGACACAGAAAGUGAAGGAGUGGAAGCUGACCAAGACAAAUGUUUGUGAAAUCAGUGGAAUUAUUGAAGAACAAUUUAAUAAAAAACAAAAAUAUGGUCAUCAAAACUACAUCUGAAAAUUUGCUUUAGUUUAUACAUAAAAAAAUUAAAUAAAGUUAUUUUUCUAGUAUCAGCAGCAUGUGAGUGAAACUGCUCUGAUAUGAGGAUGCUGUAAUGCACUGAAUGAGACUAUUUACUGUGGUACAGUGGCCUUAGGAAAGAAGGGUAAUUGUCACCUUUUAGUAUAAAUUUACUACAAUAUUUUUUUUUGUUUAUACCCCUGUUGUUUUGGAUUGACGUUUGAUAAGCUAAAUUCUUCCUGACCAAAACAAACUUUGCCUAAAGAUUGUAUGUAUUUUAACUUGUCUAAGGUUUUUUACUCCUAAUAUUUUUGUAAUCUUUGCUCCUUUUUAGAUUAAUAAACAUUAAAGUAUUUGCUGCAUCUGCCCAUGUGUAUGUCCCAUUCAGGUCUCACAGAGAGCUGGCUGUUNNNNNNNNNNCGUGCUGCAUAGCUUUGUAUUGAAUUUAUCUACUUUGAUCUUUAAAACGAAUAAAGACUCUGUUAAAAAGGGGGACACAAUAAGGAGUGGUGCAUGCAUGUAUAAAUAAAGCACCUAAAAGGAAUUUCAUAUAUAUGAUAAAGUGUUAGUUACCCAUAUGAAUUACUGAGACAAACUUGCUGUUUAAAAUAUUCUAUCUGGUGUGUGCUGUGUGCUUGGAACUUUAGAAGAUGUGUUAGCACAGACAUCAAAUGAAGGGAUGUGGCAGUUGCAGUUACUGAUUUCAUUUACCUGUUAAUUCUGUCAAGUGUGUUCUCAGUUUCCUUUGUCUUCAAUUAUGUAUGCUCGGGUCCUGUAUCUUAGACAGAAUGAUAUAAUGAAAUUGCUUGCAACUAUUAAAAAAUACAGUAUUACAAAGCAUCUAUUUGUUUAAGAAAUAAAAAUGAAUUGUCUGUCAUAAGUGUUUCGUAGUGUGAACUUUUUUCUGCUGUCUCACAAAUGCAGAGUGCUAAAUACACAGAAACUCUAUUGU
ensembl:lncRNA